ensembl:lncRNA
CCUGCAUGUGUUUGUUGGACUGACUUGUGUAAGCGAGAAUCAUGUUUUGGUGUCAGUGUAUCUGCAUAUUUUGGUCUCCCUGUGAUCAUUUGUAUUUCAGCGUGCAUUCUCAGCUCUUCUGCUGACUGUGAGUAUGUGUGUGUGUGUGUGUAAGCAGAAGCAGAUGGCGUAUUAAUAGUGUAAAAUAUGAUCUGCAGGAACCCAAUAUGCUUGCAUGCUUGUGUUUAUGGAAAUCACAGUGCACCAUGGGAAUAAAUAAUUACCUUUCUGUUAGACCGUAGUCCAAGCCACGAGCUAGCAGGGAGAGAACCCGAAAACAAUAAUUAUAACAACAAUCAACUAUAUAUACUUCUCUCUAAUUCUAUCAGGUUUUGGGGCGCUGUGAAAGACCAACUCAUUCUCCUUGUCAGAUAGAGGGCAGCGUUACUAAAACCGAGCAGCUAUUCCCACGGUCUCUCUCUGUUGCUCCCACUUCGUCUCUCCCAUCUGCUGAAGAUCUAAUGGUUGAUUAAAGUUGACAGCAGAGAAACAAAAGGAAGGGGACGCUAACAGAAGGAGGCACAACAAUUAGCACACAAGCAAGGUCUUGUGUGUGAGGGUCAGGGAGAGGUGGCGAGGUUAUAGUGAGGUCGGGGCACAUUCAAUACAGCACCAACUGCACCUCCCCUCCCGGCCUCCUCCGUGCCACAUCCAUCUCUCCUCUCGUCUCUCUCCUCCCCCUGUUUCUUCAGACAGCCCUGAAGAGCCACAGAUGCCGUUCCCCUCUGUUUUCUGUAAUUCGUCUUCAGGAGGGGGGACACAAAGAGGAUGCUUGUCGGAGCGAGAGGAAGAAAUACGGCUCUCUCUACCUUCCCGCACAAUACGACCAAACAAUAAACACUGCUUGUGUACACAUAUCAUGACAGAAUAAUGUGGCCAUAAAUACCAAUACAGACACUCCCUUUCGUAACGUCUCUCCUUCCUACAUGCAGAGACACACAUCGUAAUCAUACUACACAGCUCUCGGCUACCAAUUUGUUUUUAUUUCGAAGUAUCGAUGUCAAUAAAAGUUCAAUAUAUGACACUUGCUUACUCCAUUGAUAACACUUACAAAACAGUUGAUGAAGUAUUCGGUAUCAGGAACUAACAAUGAUUAAUUUUUAACAGCAUUUAUUAAUGUUGGCUAAUUUAAUAUUUUACUUUGCAUCC